rnacentral:rRNA from 1 species
CCUACGGGCGACAGCAGUGAGGAAUUUUGGUCAAUGGACGAGAGUCUGAACCAGCCAAGUAGCGUGAAGGAUGACUGCCCUCUGGGUUGUAAACUUCUUUUAUAUGGGAAUAAAAUGUUCCACGUGUGGGAUUUUGUAUGUACCAUAUGAAUAAGGAUCGGCUAACUCCGUGCCAGCAGCCGCGGUAAUACGGAGGAGCCGAGCGUUAUCCGGAUUUAUUGGGUUUAAAGGGAGCGUAGGGGGAUUGUUAAGUCAGUUGUGAAAGUUUGCGGCUCAACCGUAAAAUUGCAGUUGAAACUGGCAGUCUUGAGUACAGUAGAGGUGGGCGGAAUUCGUGGUGUAGCGGUGAAAUGCUUAGAUAUCACGAAGAACUCCGAUUGCGAAGGCAGUUCACUGGACUGCAACUGACACUGAGGCUCGAAAGUGUGGGUAUCAAACAGGAUUAGAUACCCGUGUAGUC